GACGCAGAACAGUGCGCUAGUUUGAUCGUCCUCACGAAGCCCCUAAAACCGCUUGUUCACGUGAAACAUCCAAGACCAAAAAGACCACCGAAGUCCCAUCUAGCGUUAUAUUACAUGGAGAAACAAAUUAAAAAUUGCAUGUUGUUCUCAAGCUUAAUUUAUUUCUGAUGGAAAAAAACCUGAAUUAUUUAAAUAAGUGUAAUUUAAGUGAUUUGAGAAGUCAAGGUUUUGAAUUCCGAAGAUUUGAUGAUACCUACACUCAAAGAUCUAAUAGGCGAUUAAUUGUUCAAGAUAUGCAAUAUAGAAAGUAAGCUUUGCGGGACCGGAUUUACAGCUUGCAGCACCUGGAGCACCAUCCCAUGUUAAUUUGUGAAGUAAAACAAGUGGUGCAGUAGCUGAAUCUGCGGCAAAUAUGACAAUAAAGAAAUACAGUUCAGUUAUAGAACAGAACCAUAUUUUUGAUACCGUUUGCAGACAUUUGGACCUUGGUGUGGGGAGGCCUAAUUUUGUGGAAUGCCUAGGAAAACGAAUAACCAACAAACAAGUUUGAUCAACUGGUUAUCGUUAGGAAAUGGAUCCAACUGAAGACUGGCGGCCCGGGAUCAUGGUGCAGUGAGACCACUUGAUUCACCCCAUUGCACAGAAGGCUUCAGUUACCAUCGACAAAGAGAGGCAAGUAACCCUGGACUGGUAUAGUGAUCGUCGUUAAUUCCGAAGAGGACCCAAAUAAAGGGAGAGAUCAGAGAUGCAAUGUUAACACAGUGGAAGUACUUGCUGUGCUACGAUUCAGGGAGCUACGGAAUAUGCAAGAUUGCUGUAGGUAACUGUAGCUAUUGCUACUGUUGUGAAACCGAGGUUUCUUGAUAGUUCUUCCCCAAAGGCAAGCACGAACAGUCAUUUGCACAACUUUUAUAUGAAAUAUAAAUAUAACAGAUUAUUAUCAUAACUUUGUGUUUUAUUUUUGUGUCUGUGUUCAAUACAAGCCUUUGUAAAACGCAGUAGGCAGCGGCGAUUUUACUAUAACGUAAUACAGUGUUUCCAAUUACUGUAGAUAAGGCAAAAUGGUAUAGGAGCAAUCGUCGAAUUCGGUGGGAGUAAUUCAGGAUUCGAUGUUUUAUGGUAAAAAUGGGCCUUGUAACAGUCGUCGCGAAAUUGGUCUAAAGAAGAAGGUUAUUCUUCAGAGUCUUUUUCAAACCGAGUACCGUGGUAAAACCAA